rnacentral:rRNA from 1 species
GGCAGCAGCUAAGAAUAUUCCGCAAUGGGCGAAAGCGUGACGAGCGACGCCGCGUGGACGAUGAAGGCCGGAAGGUUGCAGAGUCCUUUGGCGCGCGAGGAAGGAGGGGAGGAAUGGAAAGCCUCCCCGGUGACUGUAGCGCGAGAACAAGCACCGGCUAAUUACGUGCCAGCAGCCGCGGUAACACGUAAGGUGCGAGCGUUGUUCGGAAUCAUUGGGCGUAAAGGGCAUGUAGGCGGCAUGGUAAGUCGGGCGUGAAAUGACGGGGCCCAACCCCGUCGCUGCGCCCGAUACUGCCGUGCUCGAGUCAGCGAGGCGGAGGCGGAAUUCCUGGUGUAGGGGUGAAAUCUGUAGAUAUCAGGAAGAACACCGGUGGCGAAGGCAGCCUCCGAGCGCAUGACUGACGCUGAGGUGCGAAGGUGCGGGGAGCGAACAGGAUUAGAUACCCUGGUAGUCCGCACAGUAAACGAUGCGCACUUGGUGUCCGCUCAAGAGAGUGGGUGCCGAAGCAAACGCGAUAAGUGCGCCGCCUGGGGAGUAUGCCCGCAAGGGUGAAACUCAAAGGAAUUGACGG